UUAAAAUUGAGAGUUUGAUCCUGGCUCAGGACGAACGCUGGCGGCGUGCUUAACACAUGCAAGUCGAGCGAUGAAGCUUCCUUCGGGAAGUGGAUUAGCGGCGGACGGGUGAGUAACACGUGGGUAACCUGCCUCAAAGUGGGGGAUAGCCUUCCGAAAGGAAGAUUAAUACCGCAUAACAUAAGAGAAUCGCAUGAUUUUCUUAUCAAAGAUUUAUUGCUUUGAGAUGGACCCGCGGCGCAUUAGCUAGUUGGUAAGGUAACGGCUUACCAAGGCAACGAUGCGUAGCCGACCUGAGAGGGUGAUCGGCCACAUUGGAACUGAGACACGGUCCAGACUCCUACGGGAGGCAGCAGUGGGGAAUAUUGCGCAAUGGGGGAAACCCUGACGCAGCAACGCCGCGUGGGUGAUGAAGGUCUUCGGAUUGUAAAGCCCUGUUUUCUGGGACGAUAAUGACGGUACCAGAGGAGGAAGCCACGGCUAACUACGUGCCAGCAGCCGCGGUAAUACGUAGGUGGCGAGCGUUGUCCGGAUUUACUGGGCGUAAAGGGUGCGUAGGCGGAUGUUUAAGUGGGAUGUGAAAUCCCCGGGCUUAACCUGGGGGCUGCAUUCCAAACUGGAUAUCUAGAGUGCAGGAGAGGAAAGCGGAAUUCCUAGUGUAGCGGUGAAAUGCGUAGAGAUUAGGAAGAACACCAGUGGCGAAGGCGGCUUUCUGGACUGUAACUGACGCUGAGGCACGAAAGCGUGGGUAGCAAACAGGAUUAGAUACCCUGGUAGUCCACGCCGUAAACGAUGGAUACUAGGUGUAGGGGGUAUCAACUCCCCCUGUGCCGCAGUUAACACAAUAAGUAUCCCGCCUGGGGAGUACGGUCGCAAGAUUAAAACUCAAAGGAAUUGACGGGGGCCCGCACAAGCAGCGGAGCAUGUGGUUUAAUUCGAAGCAACGCGAAGAACCU
rnacentral:rRNA from 1 species